UGCCCCUAUAGUUCAGCUGGAUAGAAUGUAUGGUUGCGGUCCGUACGACCGAGGUUCAAAUCCUCGUGGGGGCGUC
rnacentral:tRNA from 1 species